GAUAAAACAAAAACAAGGUCAAGCUGUGACAAAACAAGGCAAAGCAAACAAACAAAAAAACCCCUCAUGUCUGCAGCACAGGCAGAACAGCAGUGACAGCUCCCGCCCUCUGUCCUUGCGGUGUCUGGGAUUCCGGCUCUGACUUCCCUGGGAGUGAGGCCUGGGGCUGGGGUGGGGUGGUCCGGGGAGGGAGCGCAGCACGGUGUUGGUGCGGCGCAUGCGUUGGCUGGACCCCCGCCCCUUGGCCCGCGCCCAGCACGUCCCUGAAAGGAGAGGCGGGCUUGCAGCCUUCUGUACAACAGCACACCAGGGCGCUGGCAAACUACGCAGUUACCUUCCAUAAACUGCGGGGCGAUUCCUGACAUUUAUGGAGUUUGCAUGGACCACAACCCCCAGGUUUCUGACAACUGCAUGAAGGGGGAACCACUGAGAGCCCCACACCAUCUCUGGGAAGCUGAGGCUUGGCCAGGUAAAGUCUGAUCCUCGCUUUGAGUUACUACACCAAGAACUCAGGUGCUGAAGACCAACUGCACACGGACAGUGUCCAUCUCUGCACCUGAUUCUGGGAGGUCUGGAGGGCACCAAACAGGGUGGCAGCCGGCAGCCCCUCCCCCUGCCCCUGGACUCACAUCGAGGAUCCCCUUCCCCCAACAGCACGGUGCAGCUGAGAACAUCCUAGAAAGGUCCUCUGAGAAGCCCCUUAAGGCCAGGAGCACCACAGGCUGCUCCCCCAGAGCUGUGGUGACUCCUGGAUCUCUGGGGACACUAGCCUUAGCCAUCAGCUGGUGUUUGAUGGAAACCACGUGCACCCUCGGCGUCCCUGUAGAUUGCUUCCAAGACCCCCUCACUGCCACCAAAACCUGCAGCCCCUCAAGUCCCUAGUAACUUGCAUAGAACUUAGGUACAUGGGGGUUUCGUAUGUAGCAGAGCAGCUUCCUCGCUGUGAUCUACUAAAAGUCAGCCCUCCACACAAGGAUUUAUAAAAAAGCAUUAAAAAAGAAAAGAACCUAGGUACUUUCUCCCAUAUAUGUUCUGUCAUCUCCAUCAUCGCUACUUAGAAACGCCUGUUAGUCUAUGCAACAUCCCCAGUGCAUGUAAAAGCUAUAUCCAACAGUUGUUACACUGUAUUGUUUGGGGAAUGAUGACAAGAAACAACGUCUCUGUGUGUUCAGUACAGACAUAUCCCCCUGCUCCCGCCCAGGAUUAUGUGAGGUCAGUUGAGUCCUCUCAUGUGGAGCCACGGAUACCAGAGGGCUGAGUGCACUGCAGAACCAGGUGCUUCUGUUUGGGGGCUCAGCAGAUCUAGGGCACCUGCAACUGAGGGUGGCCAAGUGCUUGCACUUUGGCGGGGUCCAAGUGUGAAUCUGCCUGGGUUCCAGGUGCACCUGACGUGACCGGAAGACAGGACUGUGAGGCAGCCCAGGUCUGGUUGCAGCCUGGCUCCACCAGCAACAAGCCCUGGAACCUGGAAACAGAACCUUAGGGCUGAGUGAGUCACAGCUCCUGCUUUAGGCAGCAAUUCCUUUCCCACCUCCGGGACACAGCUCAGCCGACCUCUACUUGAAUGCCUUCUCUGAUGAGGAGCUCACUACCUCAGAGAGAUGGACUCCACCUUUGGACAGCUCUGCCUGUUAGAAAAACUCUAGCUGAGCCAAAGCCCACUCCCUAAGGUGCCAGUGCUGCUGGGCUGGCCCCCAUCCAGAACAAACCCAGCCCUCGCAAAGUCUCCAAAGCUCCGACACGCAGAGCCACAGGCCCUGUUCCCAGAGACCUCUCUGUGGGCUGUGUGUGCAUCCUGGAAACCCUCUCUAGCCCUGCCCCAUCACCUGGGUUCCUGCCCUCUGCAGCCAACAGAGGCACCCCACCCCCACGCCCACCUCUGGACCUUUGCACUGGCUAGAUGAACUCCUUUUCUUUAUAAAGCAGCCUGCCUCUGGCACUUCAUUGGAGUAACAGAAAAUGGACAAAUACAAGCAAUGAAGUGAGUAUCCACUGUCACCCAAGUGGGAGGGCAGGACCAAAACACUCUCAAAUGCAGAAGGCUGCAAGAAUCUGCCGUGGAAAACCCUGAGGAACUCCAGUGAGAGAAGAGAAGUCCAGAACACACUCCAAGACACGCGCAGAUCAAAGGCAACUGCAUUCUGGAGCAAAGAUGGUUUUCUCCUGCCCCGACUCCAAAGUAAAGAGAAAAUAAACAAACAGAGGAACCAAGCCUGGAAUCGCACAUGGGGACAUCCAGGGACAUGGAGGCGCGGGGAAUCCUUGUCUUGGCUAAGUGACAUAUGGACAGCGAUCUUUACAGUAAGAAGGGGCUAACCAGAAACACAGGAAAGCAAGGGACAAGCUGGAACCAUAAACAUGUCAGCAAAAAAGGCAGACUGUUGAUUGGACAGAUCCCAAAAUGCAGCUAUAGGCAUUUUACAAGAAAGACAACUUGGUCGUAAAUCAAAGUAAUGAUGGGGGUGGAGCAAGGCUGAGAUCUGGGAGGCUGGUGUGGGCUCCAUCUGUGGGAGUUCAUGAUACUUUUGCAAAAGUCUGAAUGCAUUUUACAAAGCAUGCUUUUUGACCAAGAUCUCUCUCUCUCCUCCAGAAGUCAAAGAUACCUGUAUUUUGCUCAUGUUUACACUGAGCGUAUUGCUUGAACCUUAAAGAAGAAACUGGCUAAACAGAAAUGAGUUUCAGACGCUGGUUUUAUGAGUGGUGAUGUAAGCACACCCAUUGGCUCUGGAAACCUCAAAAUUUCUCCUUGGAAUGAUCCUUGUAUGCUGUCAGGGGCUAAAGGGAAGCUGUAUGUUUAAAUUGUUUUUUAAAAAUUAAACACAAAAAUACACAAACACUUAAAUGCCAUACACACACAUACACACACACACCCUCUGUGUGUGCUCUCACACACUCCCCAAAGGCCAUCCACAGAAUGCUAAUAAUAGUCGCCCCUAGACCUGGAUCACACAAGGGCCCUUUUUAUUAUUUUGCCCCCUCCUGAAAAGAUCCUGUGUCCCAGGCUGCAUUUCUGCAGGAACAGCGAGCUUGUUUUCCCAUCAUUAUUAAUCAGAGUCAUAUGCGGGGCCACUCGGAGUGCCUGAUGGCUGCAGAUAGGCAGCUGCCCUGCGCCGGGCGCACAGAACUUAGCGGAAGGGGGUCAACCCAGUGCUGGGCUGGCGGGCGGCUGGUCCCUCGGCAAGGCUGAUUUCCAUCAGAGUCUCUGAAACAGCAAAACCCACUGGGGGAUCCCUGGGGACCUGAGAAGGCGUCCACUCCCACCUGGUGGGCAGGGCAGGGCCCAGAAGCCCUGGCCUCCUCCUCCUGCGCUCCAUCCUCACUCAAAACACUGCCAACAGAACUUUCUGCGAUGACAGGAGCAGUUCCCAGGCGGCCCACGUGGAAGCCGCAAGCCACACGUGGUGUUGGAGCACCUGGAAUGUGAUGAGUGCGACCCAAGGGCUGAGUUCUCAACUCUAUUUAACUUCAAUUUCAGUGUAAAUAGCCAAGGGGGACCGCUGGAAGUCUGGCAUGAAGUGAAGGAAGCCAGACAGAAAGGCAGCAGGCUGUGUGAUUCCACUCCAGGAGACAUCCAGGAGGGGCAGGCCCACGGAGACCGGAAGUCCAGGGUGGCCAGAAGUCACUGCUAGGGCUUCCUUCUUUAACAGAUUUAUUUAUUCUAUUAGUCUGAGAGGGAGGGAGUGAGGGAGAGAGCGAGCGAGCUCCCAGUGCAGGCUAAAUCGAGGAGCCAGGAACUCAGUCACAGGUCUCCCACAUGGGUGGCAGGGAGCCAAGCACUCAAGCCAUCACCUGCUGCCUCCCAGGGUGUGCAUUAGCAGGGAGCUGGAAGGGCAGAACUAGGAUUUGAACCGAGGUGCUCCAAUGCGAGACUCAGGUAUUCCAAGCAGUGUUUUAACUGCUAGCAAAAUACCUGCCCCAACCAGGGCUUCUGUCAGUCCAUUUUCUGCUGCUGUUACAGAACAUCACAGGGUAAUUUAUAAAUAACAGAAGUUUAUUUGGCUUAUGGUGUUGGAGGGCUCUGCUGAGGGCCUCCAAGUUCCCAAUGAGACGGUGGGAGGGGUGGAGUGUGAGCUGAGUAGAGCCCACCCCUGGGAUAAGACCCCCCUACCCUCCCACAGUCAACCCACAUUUGCAAGGUAGAGCGUUUAUGCCAUCAUCAUCUCUUAAAGGUCCCGCCUCUCAGCCCUGCUACAAUCAAAUUUCAACAUGAUGGUGGUGGAGGGUGGAGAGGAAGACAUUCAAACCACUACUGCUUGCUUUUGGGGUGAUGGAAAUGUUCUGGAAAUAGGCAGUGCUGAUGGUUGUACUGCACUGGGUCUAUACUAAAGACUACCGAAUUGUACAAUUUAAAAUGAUGGAGAAUUUAUGUUAUGUGUGUCCUGUCUGAUUAAAAACAAAGCAAAAAUACCAACUCCACAAAAUAGCCACAUGGGCCAGUGGCUUCCA